rnacentral:rRNA from 1 species
AGUCGAGGGGCAGCAUUUCAGUUUGCUUGCAAACUGGAGAUGGCGACCGGCGCACGGGUGAGUAACACGUAUCCAACCUGCCGAUAACUCGGGGAUAGCCUUUCGAAAGAAAGAUUAAUACCCGAUGGNAUAAUCAGACCGCAUGGUCUUAUUAUUAAAGAAUUUCGGUUAUCGAUGGGGAUGCGUUCCAUUAGGCAGUUGGUGAGGUAACGGCUCACCAAACCUUCGAUGGAUAGGGGUUCUGAGAGGAAGGUCCCCCACAUUGGAACUGAGACACGGUCCAAACUCCUACGGGAGGCAGCAGUGAGGAAUAUUGGUCAAUGGGCGCAGGCCUGAACCAGCCAAGUAGCGUGAAGGAUGACUGCCCUAUGGGUUGUAAACUUCUUUUAUAUGGGAAUAAAGUUUUCCACGUGUGGAAUUUUGUAUGUACCAUAUGAAUAAGGAUCGGCUAACUCCGUGCCAGCAGCCGCGGUAAUACGGAGGAUCCGAGCGUUAUCCGGAUUUAUUGGGUUUAAAGGGAGCGUAGGUGGACAGUUAAGUCAGUUGUGAAAGUUUGCGGCUCAACCGUAAAAUUGCAGUUGAUACUGGCUGUCUUGAGUACAGUAGAGGUGGGCGGAAUUCGUGGUGUAGCGGUGAAAUGCUUAGAUAUCACGAAGAACUCCGAUUGCGAAGGCAGCUCACUGGACUGCAACUGACACUGAUGCUCGAAAGUGUGGGUAUCAAACAGGAUUAGAUACCCUGGUAGUCCACACAGUAAACGAUGAAUACUCGCUGUUUGCGAUAUACAGUAAGCGGCCAAGCGAAAGCAUUAAGUAUUCCACCUGGGGAGUACGCCGGCAACGGUGAAACUCAAAGGAAUUGACGGGGGCCCGCACAAGCGGAGGAACAUGUGGUUUAAUUCGAUGAUACGCGAGGAACCUUACCCGGGCUUAAAUUGCAUUUGAAUANUUUGGAAACAGNUUAGCCGCAAGGCAAAUGUGAAGGUGCUGCAUGGUUGUCGUCAGCUCGUGCCGUGAGGUGUCGGCUUAAGUGCCAUAACGAGCGCAACCCUUAUCUUUAGUUACUAACAGGUCAUGCUGAGGACUCUAGAGAGACUGCCGUCGUAAGAUGUGAGGAAGGUGGGGAUGACGUCAAAUCAGCACGGCCCUUACGUCCGGGGCUACACACGUGUUACAAUGGGGGGUACAGAAGGCAGCUACCUGGUGACAGGAUGCUAAUCCCAAAAGCCUCUCUCAGUUCGGAUCGAAGUCUGCAACCCGACUUCGUGAAGCUGGAUUCGCUAGUAAUCGCGCAUCAGCCAUGGCGCGGUGAAUACGUUCCCGGGCCUUGUACACACCGCCCGUCAAGCCAUGAAAGCCGGGGGUACCUGAAGUACGAACCGCAAGGAGCUCCUAGG